UUGUCUCAAAGAUUAAGCCAUGCAUGUCUCAGUACAAGCCAAAAUUAAGGUGAAACCGCGAAAGGCUCAUUAAAUCAGUUAUGGUUCCUUAGAUCGUACCACAUUUACUUGGAUAACUGUGGUAAUUCUAGAGCUAAUACAUGCAAACAGAGCUCUAACCGGAGGACGGAAGGAGUGCUUUUAUUAGAUCAAAACCAAUUGUGGCGUCCCGGGCUCCAUAUUGAUUCCUGUACCUUUGCGUACGUUCAUGUGUCCUGGUGGUGCGUUCACAACAUAUUACUGGUGAAUCUGAAUAACUUGCUGAUCGCAUGGUCUCGUACCGGCGACGCAUCUUUCAAAUGUCUGCCUUAUCAACUUUCGAUGGUAGGAUCUGCGCCUACCAUGGUUGUAACGG
rnacentral:rRNA from 1 species